rnacentral:rRNA from 2 species
GGUUAAGCGACUAAGCGUACACGGUGGAUGCCCUGGCAGUCAGAGGCGAUGAAGGACGUGCUAAUCUGCGAUAAGCGUCGGUAAGGUGAUAUGAACCGUUAUAACCGGCGAUUUCCGAAUGGGGAAACCCAGUGUGUUUCGACACACUAUCAUUAACUGAAUCCAUAGGUUAA